rnacentral:rRNA from 1 species
GCCAACGAGUUACGUUAAGUAGCAAGGUUAAGCACUUAAGGUGUGGAGCCGUAGCGAAAGCGAGUUUUAACUGAGCGUUCAGUUACUUGACGUAGACCCGAAACCGGGCGACCUACCCAUGAGCAGGCUGAAGCGAAAGUAAAAUUUCGUGGAGGUCCGAACCCACGAGCGUUGAAAAGCUCGGGGAUGACUUGUGGGUAGCGGUGAAAUUCCAAUCGAGCCCGGAGAUAGCUGGUUCUCCCCGAAAUAGCUUUAGGGCUAGCCUCAAGGUGAGAGAUACGGAGGUAGAGCACUGAAUGUCCUAGGGGGUAUUGCACCUACCGAAGACUAUCAAACUCCGAAUGCCGUCAUCUUAUACUUGGGAGUCAGACUGUGGGUGAUAAGAUUCAUAGUCGAAAGGGCAACAGCCCAGAUCGUCAGCUAAGGUCCCUAAAUGUAAGUUAAGUGGUAAAGGAUGUGGGAUUGCACAGACAACCAGGAUGUUGGCUUAGAAGCAGCCACUCAUUCAAAGAGUGCGUAAUAGCUCACUGGUCGAGUGAUCCUGCGCCGAAGAUUUCCGGGGCUAAAACUUACUACCGAAGCUACGGCAUCAGUAAUGAUGGGUAGGGGAGCUUCCCAUACGGGUUGAAGCAUGACCGUAAGGACAUGUGGACAGUAUGGGAGUGAGAAUGUUGGCAUGAGUAGCGAGAUGUGGGUG